rfam:Lactobacillus hayakitensis DSM 18933 = JCM 14209 strain DSM 18933 NODE_138, whole genome shotgun sequence.
GGUUCAUUGGUCUAGUUGGUUAGGACGCCUGCCUGUCACGCAGGAGACCACCGGUUCGAAUCCGGUAUGGACCG